UUCUCUUGAUUUCACCAUUCUGGUCCCGUACUUGAUUCUCUCAUCUGUUCCUUUUUAAGCCUAGGUUUUAAUUUUGUCCCUGAAAUAUCCACUAAAGUUACUGCAGUAACUACAUGUUUUUUUAUCUUUAAUCUUGCAAUGUUCAUCUUAAACAAGUCUGACCAUAUAAAAAUAGGAACAUUAGGGAGAAUAACUCAGUAUAUGGAUAAAUAUUCUGAGUGAG
rnacentral:lncRNA from 1 species